UCCAAGUUUUCAAUUUUAUAGGCCCACAAUUGCAGGACUGCAGAGAUUCUGUAAGGAUCUUGCCAAUUAGAAGACAUCUUUCCUUGUUCAGUGGGCUUUGAGAUUUCUGCUCUUUCGAGGACUAAGUCUCCUAUUCGAAAGAUUUUUGAUUUGACUUGGGAGUUGGAAUACCGAGCUAUCCUUUAUUGGUAGGAGGCCAUUCUCAGUUGAGCCUAUUCUCAGGUUUCUUCAAGCAAAUCCAAGUAUGCUUGUCUCUUGUCCGAAUUAGUUGAUU
rnacentral:lncRNA from 1 species